GGGUGAUUAGCUCAGCUGGGAGAGCACCUCCCUUACAAGGAGGGGGUCGGCGGUUCGAUGCCGUCAUCACCCACCA
rnacentral:tRNA from 1 species